CAGGACAAGGAAGAUUAAAUGAACCACCACAAAUGAAGUGCUUAGAAGAAAACAUGGCACAUGGAUCUAGGGAAUCAAAGAAGAUUAAAGCUGUAAUCCCUUAUCAUCGAGAAACUCUCAUCUUCAUGAUACAUAAACAGAUGAUUACUUUCCCCCACAGCUUGCAAAGUUGAGUCUUCAAGUAAGACAAGUGCAAAGAAAGAAAUUUGGAACAGCAGACUGUUUCUGUUGGUACGAUUCUUAGGAGAAAAUAUGUGUCAUACAUUAUAUGCACUGAGAUCUUAUGUGUUUCGAAUCCACUAAUUUGGGGCUAAUGGGAGUGGGAUUUAAUUUUAGUUAAAUUGAAUAGCAGCAUCACUUUCAAUUGUUCUUAAAAAUAGGAUUUAUUAAACAAAAUAAUAAUGCAAAGACCCAAGAGGACUGUCUGUUAAGUAUUCUGGUAAGACUUCAAUUUUACCUCUAUUGCAACAUUCUGAAGCUUAUUGUUUUCAUUUGCUUAAAUUAGACUGUGCGAUGCCAGAGGGUAGGGAGUGUAUCUAAUUCAUUUUUGUGUCUAGUACAAAUUAAAUGGAGGUAUAACUGUAUUUAAGGGGACCAAGAGUUUUCUCAUUCAUUCUUUAAACCAUUUUGGCAGAAUGCAUUUACAUAGAACUAAUUCAGGCACAAUUACCAAUCAUUAUCUGUUCAUUAAGAUGCCUAAUGGCCAGACUCAUGCAUGUCAUCCCAGUACUUUGGAAGACCCAGGUGGGAGGAUCACUUGAGCCUCAGGUUCGAGACCAGCCUGGGCAAUAUAGUGAGACCUCAUCUCUCCAAAAAAU
rnacentral:lncRNA from 10 species